GAUGAACGCUGGCGGCGUGCCUAAUACGUGCAAGUCGAGCGAAUGGAUUAAGAGCUUGCUCUUAUGAAGUUAGCGGCGGACGGGUGAGUAACACGUGGGUAACCUGCCCAUAAGACUGGGAUAACUCCGGGAAACCGGGGCUAAUACCGGAUAACAUUUUGAACCGCAUGGUUCGAAAUUGAAAGGCGGCUUCGGCUGUCACUUAUGGAUGGAACCGCGUCGCAAUAGCUAGUUGGUGAGGUAACGGCUCACCAAGGCAACGAUGCGUAGCCGACCUGAGAGGGUGAUCGGCCACACUGGGACUGAGACACGGCCCAGACCCCUACGGGAGGCAGCAGUAGGGAAUCUUCCGCAAUGGACGAAAGUCUGACGGAGCAACGCCGCGUGAGUGAUGAAGGCUUUCGGGUCGUAAAACUCUGUUGUUAGGGAAGAACAAGUGCUAGUUGAAUAAGCUGGCACCUUGACGGUACCUAACCAGAAAGCCACGGCUAACUACGUGCCAGCCGCCGCAGUAA
rnacentral:rRNA from 1 species